GAUUUCCUGGAACCAUGUGUGAUAACCCCUCUCUUGGCCAACUCACUGGGGAUUGAACCAGAGAUCUCCAGAGCUAAAAGCACUAGAGAAAACCAUCCAUGAAACAGGACUACACAUGGGACCAAGACUUGAAGGACCUGGCCUUUGUCUCUAAAGCAUCCUGUGGCAGAGAUAAAUCAUACAUCAUGUAAAAAUGCAUUUCCUUGUACCUUUGUUGAAAUUUGUUACCUACCGGAUUAAUGGAGUGUUCCUUCUCUUUUGCAUUGUAUCGCCCUCCUGACUCUCUAAAGACAUGACAGCAGGAGAGUUAGAAGUUCUGCAAGAAUAUUUAUGGUAUCUUAAUCAUGCAUCUCCUGUAGCUGUAAGAAAAUCUCCCUGACAAGUCUUUUUAAUUCUGCUAAUAAUUCUAGUAAGUUCUUCUCCAAGAAAUUGGACGCAUGUACACACUUUAUUUACUAAAAUAGAAUUUUGCCUAGCUUGGGCAAAAAUAUCAAUUGUUAAGCUUUAAAAAAUUAUGGAAACAAAUGGGAGUAAAUUAGCUGUCCUACAGACAAUGGUUCAGA